AUACGGAAGAUCCAAGCGUUAUCCGGAUUUAUUGGGUUUAAAGGGAGCGUAGGCGGAAGUUCAAGUCAGUUGUGAAAGUCUGUGGCUUAACCAUAGAAUUGCAGUUGAAACUGAAUUUCUUGAGUGUAGAUAAGGAUGGUGGAAUUUGUGGUGUAAGCGGUGAAAUGCAUAGAUAUCACGAAGAACUCCAAUUGCGAAGGCAGCCAUCCGGGCUACAACUGACGCUGAGGCUCGAAAGUGCGGGAAUC
rnacentral:rRNA from 1 species